GAUGAACGCUGGCGGCGUGCCUAAUACAUGCAAGUCGAGCGAACAGACGCGGCGCUUGCUCCUCUGACGUUAGCGGAGGACGGGUGUGUAACACGUGGAUAACCUACCUAUAUGACUGGGAUAACUUCGGGAAACCGGCGCUAAUACCGGAUAAUAUAUUGCACCGCAUGGUUCGAUGGUGAAAGACGGUUUUGCUGUCAGUUCUAGAUGGAUCCGGGCCGCUUUAGCUAGUUGUGAAGGUAACGGCUUACCACGGCAACGAUGCGUAGCCGACCUGAGAGACUGGUCGGCCACACGGGAACGUGGACGCGCUCCAUGCGCCUACGGGAGGCAGCAGAAGCCUACCGGACGCAAUGGGGGAAAGCCUUGCGGAACGACGCCACGUGAGAUAUGAAAGUCCUCCGAUCGUAAAGACCGGUUAUGAGGUGAGAACAAAUGUGGAAGUAACCAUACCCUGCGUGACGGUAACGAGUCAGAAAGCCACGGCUAACUACGUG
rnacentral:rRNA from 1 species